rnacentral:rRNA from 1 species
ACCCCGAGGAAAAGAAAUCAACCGAGAUUCCCCCAGUAGCGGCGAGCGAACGGGGAGCAGCCCAGAGUCUGAAUCAGCUUGUGUGUUAGUGGAACGGUCUGGAAAGUCCGACGGUACAGGGUGAUAGUCCCGUACACCAAAAUGCACAGGCUGUGAACUCGAAGAGUAGGGCGGGACACGUGGUAUCCUGUCUGAAUAUGGGGGGACCAUCCUCCAAGGCUAAAUACUCCUGACUGACCGAUAGUGAACCAGUACCGUGAGGGAAAGGCGAAAAGAACCCCGGCGAGGGGAGUGAAAAAGAACCUGAAACCGUGUACGUACAAGCAGUGGGAGCACCUUCGGGUGUGACUGCGUACCUUUUGUAUAAUGGGUCAGCGACUUAUAUUCUGUAGCAAGGUUAACCGUAUAGGGGAGCCGCAGGGAAACCGAGUCUUAACUGGGCGUUAAGUUGCAGGGUAUAGACCCGAAACCCGGUGAUCUAGCCAUGGGCAGGUUGAAGGUUGGGUAACACUAACUGGAGGACCGAACCGACUAAUGUUGAAAAAUUAGCGGAUGACUUGUGGCUGGGGGUGAAAGGCCAAUCAAACCGGGAGAUAGCUGGUUCUCCCCGAAAGCUAUUUAGGUAGCGCCUCGUGAAUUCAUCUUCGGGGGUAGAGCACUGUUUCGGCUAGGGGGUCAUCCCGACUUACCAACCCGAUGCAAACUACGAAUACCGAAGAAUGUUAUCACGGGAGACACACGGCGGGUGCUAACGUCCGUCGUGAAGAGGGAAACAACCCAGACCGCCAGCUAAGGUCCCAAAGUCAUGGUUAAGUGGGAAACGAUGUGGGAAGGCACAGACAGCCAGGAUGUUGGCUUAGAAGCAGCCAUCAUUUAAAGAAAGCGUAAUAGCUCACUGGUCGAGUCGGCCUGCGCGGAAGAUGUAACGGGGCUAAACCAUGCACCGAAGCUGCGGCAGCGACACUAUGUGUUGUUGGGUAGGGGAGCGUUCUGUAAGCCUGCGAAGGUGACCUGUGAGGGUUGCUGGAGGUAUCAGAAGUGCGAAUGCUGACAUAAGUAACGAUAAAGCGGGUGAAAAGCCCGCUCGCCGGAAGACCAAGGGUUCCUGUCCAACGUUAAUCGGGGCAGGGUGAGUCGACCCCUAAGGCGAGGCCGAAAGGCGUAGUCGAUGGGAAACAGGUUAAUAUUCCUGUACUUGGUGUUACUGCGAAGGGGGGACGGAGAAGGCUAUGUUAGCCGGGCGACGGUUGUCCCGGUUUAAGCAUGUAGGCUGGUUGUCCAGGCAAAUCCGGAUAAUCAAGGCUGAGGUGUGAUGACGAGGCACUACGGUGCUGAAGUAACAAAUGCCCUGCUUCCAGGAAAAGCCUCUAAGCAUCAGGUAACAUUAAAUCGUACCCCAAACCGACACAGGUGGUCAGGUAGAGAAUACCAAGGCGCUUGAGAGAACUCGGGUGAAGGAACUAGGCAAAAUGGUGCCGUAACUUCGGGAGAAGGCACGCUGGUGUGUAGGUGAAGUCCCUGCGGAUGGAGCUGAGACCAGUCGAAGAUACCAGCUGGCUGCAACUGUUUAUUAAAAACACAGCACUGUGCAAACACGAAAGUGGACGUAUACGGUGUGACGCCUGCCCGGUGCCGGAAGGUUAAUUGAUGGGGUUAUCCGUAAGGAGAAGCUCUUGAUCGAAGCCCCGGUAAACGGCGGCCGUAACUAUAACGGUCCUAAGGUAGCGAAAUUCCUUGUCGGGUAAGUUCCGACCUGCACGAAUGGCGUAAUGAUGGCCAGGCUGUCUCCACCCGAGACUCAGUGAAAUUGAACUCGCUGUGAAGAUGCAGUGUACCCGCGGCAAGACGGAAAGACCCCGUGAACCUUUACUAUAGCUUGACACUGAACAUUGAGCCUUGAUGUGUAGGAUAGGUGGGAGGCUUUGAAGCGUGGACGCCAGUCUGCGUGGAGCCAACCUUGAAAUACCACCCUUUAAUGUUUGAUGUUCUAACGUUGGCCCCUUACCGGGGUUGCGGACAGUGUCUGGUGGGUAGUUUGACUGGGGCGGUCUCCUCCCAAAGCGUAACGGAGGAGCACGAAGGUUAGCUAAUCCUGGUCGGACAUCAGGAGGUUAGUGCAAUGGCAUAAGCUAGCUUGACUGCGAGCGUGACGGCGCGAGCAGGUGCGAAAGCAGGUCAUAGUGAUCCGGUGGUUCUGAAUGGAAGGGCCAUCGCUCAACGGAUAAAAGGUACUCCGGGGAUAACAGGCUGAUACCGCCCAAGAGUUCAUAUCGACGGCGGUGUUUGGCACCUCGAUGUCGGCUCAUCACAUCCUGGGGCUGAAGUAGGUCCCAAGGGUAUGGCUGUUCGCCAUUUAAAGUGGUACGCGAGCUGGGUUUAGAACGUCGUGAGACAGUUCGGUCCCUAUCUGCCGUGGGCGCUGGAGAAUUGAGGGGGGCUGCUCCUAGUACGAGAGGACCGGAGUGGACGCAUCACUGGUGUUCGGGUUGUCAUGCCAAUGGCACUGCCCGGUAGCUAAAUGCGGAAGAGAUAAGUGCUGAAAGCAUCUAAGCACGAAACUUGCCCCGAGAUGAGUUCUCCCUGAGACUUUAAGUCUCCUGAAGGAACGUUAAAGACGAUGACGUUGAUAGGCCGGGUGUGUAAGCGCAGCGAUGCGUUGAGCUAACCGGUACUAAUGAACCGUGAGGCUUAACCUU